rnacentral:rRNA from 1 species
AUUGAACGCUGGCGGCAGGCUUAACACAUGCAAGUCGAGCGGGGUGAUGGUGCUUGCACUAUCACUUAGCGGCGGACGGGUGAGUAAUGCUUAGGAAUCUGCCUAUUAGUGGGGGACAACAUCUCGAAAGGGAUGCUAAUACCGCAUACGUCCUUCGGGAGAAAGCAGGGGAUCACUUGUGACCUUGCGCUAAUAGCUGAGCCUAAGUCGGAUCAGCUAGCUGGUGGGGUAAAGGCCUACCAAGGCGACGAUCUGUAGCGGGUAUGAGAGGAUAACCCGCCACGCUGGGACUGAGACACGGCCCAGACUCCUACGGGAGGCAGCAGUGGGGAAUAUUGGACAAUGGGGGGAACCCUGAUCCAGCCAUGCCGCGUGUGUGAAGAAGGCCUUAUGGUUGUAGAGCACUUUAAGCGAGGAGGAGGCUCUUUUGGUUAAUACCCAAGAUGAGUGGACGUUACUCGCAGAAUAAGCACCGGCUAACUCUGUGCCAGCAGCCGCGGUAA